rnacentral:rRNA from 1 species
GACGAACGCUGGCGGCGUGCUUAACACAUGCAAGUCGAACGAAGAGCGAUGGAAGCUUGCUUCUAUCAAUCUUAGUGGCGAACGGGUGAGUAACGCGUAAUCAACCUGCCCUUCAGAGGGGGACAACAGUUGGAAACGACUGCUAAUACCGCAUACGAUCUGACCUCGGCAUCGAGGAUAGAUGAAAGGUGGCCUCUAUUUAUAAGCUAUCACUGAAGGAGGGGAUUGCGUCUGAUUAGCUAGUUGGAGGGGUAACGGCCCACCAAGGCGAUGAUCAGUAGCCGGUCUGAGAGGAUGAACGGCCACAUUGGGACUGAGACACGGCCCAGACUCCUACGGGAGGCAGCAGUGGGGAAUCUUCCGCAAUGGAGGAAAGUCUGACGGAGCAACGCCGCGUGAGUGAUGACGGCCUUCGGGUUGUAAAGCUCUGUUAAUCGGGACGAAAGGCCUUCUUGCGAAUAGUUAGAAGGAUUGACGGUACCGGAAUAGAAAGCAACGGCUAACUACGUG